AUGGGCAUGAAAGUGUAUAGGUUCUCCAUCGCUUGGUCCAGAAUACUGCCAGAUGGGACGGGAAAAGUAAACCAGGCAGGCAUCGACUACUACAAUAAGCUGAUCAACUCGCUGAUAGAUAACGACAUAGUGCCAUAUGUUACAAUUUGGCACUGGGACACUCCUCAAGCACUGGAGGACAAGUACGGCAGCUUCUUAAAUAGGCAGAUUGUAGAUGAUUACAAACAAUUCGCCGAGGUGUGCUUUAAGAACUUCGGCGACAGGGUGAAGAACUGGUUCACCUUUAACAAGCCACAUACAUAUUGUUGUUUCUCCUAUGGUGAGGGGAUUCAUGCUCCUGGGAGGUGCUCGCCAGGGAUGGAUUGUGCCGUCCCAAAAGGAGACUCGCUCAGAGAGCCAUACACUGCUGGUCACCACAUCCUCUUAGCUCAUGCUGAGGCUGUUGAGCUGUUCAAAGCUUGUUACAACAAGCAUGGGGAUUCCAAGAUAGGGAUGGCCUUUGAUGUAAUGGGUUACGAGCCAUUCCAAGACUCCUUCCUCGACGACCAGGCCCGGGAAAGAUCCAUCGACUACAACCUCGGAUGGUUCCUGGAGCCAGUUGUUCGUGGUGACUACCCCUUCUCCAUGAGAUCACUGAUUGGACAUCGUCUACCCAUGUUCACUAAGGAGGAGCAGGAGAAGCUAGCGUCCUCAUGUGACAUCAUGGGGCUCAACUAUUACACCUCCAGGUUCUCCAAGCAUGUUGACAUUUCAUCAGACUUUACGCCAAAGCUGAACACCGACGACGCUUACGCCAGUUCAGAAACUAAAGGGAGUGAUGGGAAUGACAUCGGUCCUAUAACAGGGACUUAUUGGAUUUACAUGUACCAAAAAGGCCUAACAGACCUCCUUCUGAUCAUGAAGGAGAAAUACGGAAACCCACCCAUCUUCAUCACUGAGAAUGGAAUCGCUGAUGUGGACAGCGACCCAACCAUGAGAGAUCCUUUGGAUGACUGGAAGAGGCUAGACUACCUCCAGCGUCACAUCUCAGCCGUCAAGGACGCAAUAGACCAGGGCGCGGAUGUGCGGGGCCACUUCACGUGGGGUCUGAUCGACAACUUCGAAUGGAGCCUGGGCUACAGCUCACGAUUCGGCCUGGUCUACAUCGACAAGAAGGACGGCAACAAGCGCAAGCUCAAGAAGUCGGCCAAGUGGUUCGCCAAGUUCAACUCCGUCCCAAAACCCUUGCUUAAGACUACCAAUAACAACGCAACCGUGACUGCCUCCGUUUCCGUAUGA
rnacentral:rRNA from 1 species